rnacentral:rRNA from 1 species
GCGGAUUUUUUUAGAGAAGAGGAACCACCCAGUUAACCAUUCCGAACCUGGAAGUCAAGCUCUUCAUCGCUGAUAAUACUGCUCUUUU